CCUACGGGGUGCAGCAGUGGGGAAUAUUGCACAAUGGCGCAAGCCUGAUGCAGCCAUGCCGCGUGUAUGAAGAAGGCCUUCGGGUUGUAAAGUACUUUCAGCGGGGAGGAAGGUGCUGAGGUUAAUAACCUCAGCAAUUGACGUUACCCGCAGGAGAAGCACCGGCUAACUCCGUGCCAGCAGCCGCGGUAAUACGGAGGGUGCAAGCGUUAAUCGGAAUUACUGGGCGUAAAGCGCACGCAGGCGGUCUGUCAAGUCGGAUGUGAAGUCCCCGGGCUCAACCUGGGAACUGCAUUCGAAACUGGCAGGCUGGAGUCUUGUAGAGGGGGGUAGAAUUCCAGGUGUAGCGGUGAAAUGCGUAGAGAUCUGGGGGAAUACCGGUGGCGAAGGCGGCCCCCUGGACAAAGACUGACGCUCAGGUGCGAAAGCGUGGGGAGCAAACAGGAUUAGAUACCCCCGUAGUC
rnacentral:rRNA from 1 species